UACGAAGGGGGCUAGCGUUGUUCGGAAUUACUGGGCGUAAAGCGCGCGCAGGCGGUCUUCCAAGUCAGUGGUGAAAGCCCGGAGCUCAACUCCGGAACUGCCAUUGAAACUGUUAGACUUGAGGACGAGAGAGGUGAGUGGAAUUCCCAGUGUAGAGGUGAAAUUCGUAGAUAUUGGGAAGAACACCGGUGGCGAAGGCGGCUCAGUGGCUCGUAUCUGACGCUCAGGCGCGAUAGCGUGGGGAUCAAACAGG
rnacentral:rRNA from 1 species